CCCUAGCCCCGAUUGAAAUGAAAAUCUUUUUAAAAAAAAAGAUUGUAAUGAAAAGCGGGAAAAAGC
rnacentral:sRNA from 1 species